rnacentral:rRNA from 1 species
GUGCCAGCCGCCGCGGUAAUACGGAGGGUGCAAGCGUUGUCCGGAAUCACUGGGCGUAAAGGGCGUGCAGGCGGUCUGUUAAGUCUGGUGUGAGAGCCCGGGGCUCAACCCCGGAAGUGCAUUGGAUACUGGCAGACUUGAGUAUGGAAGAGGAAAGCGGAAUUCCGAGUGUAGGAGUGAAAUCCGUAGAUAUUCGGAGGAACACCAGUGGCGAAGGCGGCUUUCUGGACCAAUACUGACGCUGAGACGCGAAAGCGUGGGUAGCAAACAGGAUUAGAUACCCUGGUAGUCC